GAGAAAGGAUGACUCAAUGGAAUCUGAAAUCAGUGAAGACUUAAAUAAUCCAACUCUGAUCUCAUCAUUUUG